AGUAGAAUUGCUGGAUUAUAUGGUAACUAUGUUUAACCUUUUGAGGCCCUGCCAAGCUGUUUUCCAAAGUGGCUGUACCAUUUUAUAUUCCCACCAGCAAU
rnacentral:pre_miRNA from 1 species